AGAAGAGUGGCAGUAGAGACAACAGCCCAUCAGUAGCCUGGCCACGCAGAAUGAAUGACUUUAGAGUGACGUGGGAGCUGAAGCUACAUGUUACAGAACUAUGUGAUAGAAAAGGAAUGAUCUCCAAGGGAACACUUGUUCCUACCAAGCAGUCUAAGUGACAUCUGUGAGCAUGAUAUGCAGACGCAGCAGUUCCUGUUUCCUGCAGAAUCUGAGCUCUCACAUCUAACUGCAGCUGAGGUUGACUGAGGACAUUCAAAUGAAAGAGGAUUGAAAUAGGCAUAUUUAAAAUAUUGUGAAGUAUGGAAGUGAUUACAACCUGCCGCUUAAGGCACGACUCAGGAAAUUGAAGAACAGGGGCUUAAAAGUAGUCCCCAAACAAUGGGCUCAACAGACCUUCUCACAAAACCCUCUGAAAACUUUUUUUUAAAACUAGAAAAUACUCAGUUUCAACCGAGGGACUGGAAAAAUAUGUUGUUAUAUUCUUGAACUGCUUUCUAUUAUGGAAAUCAAACAAGCUUUCGUGACGGAUUACUCUUCAGGCAAGGAGAAAGGAAUGCUUGCGGAGGCCGCACACAGGUCUGUGGUCUGUGCUCUGCCCUGCUGCUGCAGCUAAGCCUGUCUGAACUGUCUUCUAAUCCACAAGUGUUAUUCUGGCUGUUAAAAUACCCAGUGAAGCAAAAACUCCUAAAUGUAAGUCAUUUGUGCAAGAUAUAUGUAAUAUACUAAGUGGCAAGAGAAUGGUGUAUGGUCUUUCUGAGCUGCCCUGGUGCUGUGAAACCAUGACAGAGUGGAGUCAUGGUCUGCCCUGGCAUUCUCUGCCUUAUCUGUCGUGUAUGUGUUAGAGUGUGAAAAGAAUAAAUUCCCCAGUAUAUUAACUUCAA